AUCCUUCCGUAGGUGAACCUGCGGAGGGAUCAUUACACAAUAAAAUACGAAGGCCGUUCGCGGCUGGACUAUUUAUUACCCUUGUCUUUUGCGCACUUGUUGUUUCCUGGGCGGGUUCGCUCGCCACCAGGACCACAAUAUAAACCUUUUUUAUGCAGUUGCAAUCAGCGUCAGUAUAACAAAUGUAAAUCAUUUACAACUUUCAACAACGGAUCUCUUGGUUCUGGCAUCGAUGAAGAACGCAGCGAAAUGCGAUACGUAGUGUGAAUUGCAGAAUUCAGUGAAUCAUCGAAUCUUUGAACGCACAUUGCGCCCUUUGGUAUUCCAAAGGGCAUGCCUGUUCGAGCGUCAUUUGUACCCUCAAGCUUUGCUUGGUGUUGGGCGUUUUUGUCUUUGGCCCGCCAAAGACUCGCCUUAAAAUGAUUGGCAGCCGGCCUACUGGUUUCGCAGCGCAGCACAUUUUUGCGCUUGCAAUCAGCAAAAGAGGACGGCAAUCCAUCAAGACUCCUUCUCACGUUGACCUCGGAUCAGGUAGGAUACCCCACCUUCC
rnacentral:rRNA from 1 species